CACGUAGGGUGCGAGCGUUGUCCGGAAUUAUUGGGCGUAAAGAGCUCGUAGGCGGUGUGUCGCGUCGGCCGUGAAAACCUGCAGCUUAACUGUGGGCUUGCGGUCGAUACGGGCAUCACUGGAGUUCGGCAGGGGAGACUGGAAUUCCUGGUGUAGCGGUGAAAUGCGCAGAGUAUCAGGAGGAACACCGAUGGCGAAGGCAGGUCUCUGGGCCACUACUGACGCUGAGAAGCGAAAGCAUGGGGAGCGAACAGG
rnacentral:rRNA from 1 species